AGGCGAAGGAGUGAUCCGGAGCGAAUCCCAAAAAUAACGUCCCAGUUCGGAUUGCAGUCUGCAACUCGAGUGCAUGAAGCUGGAAUCGCUAGUAAUCGCGGAUCAGAAUGCCGCGGUGAAUACGUUCCCGGGUCUUGUACACACCGCCCGUCACACCAUGGGAGCCGGUAACGCCCGAAGUCAGUGGCCCAACCGAGGAGGGGGGAGCUGCCGAAGGCGGGACUGGUAACUGGGGUGAAGUCGUAACAAGGUAGC
rnacentral:rRNA from 1 species